rnacentral:rRNA from 1 species
CCUACGGGAGGCAGCAGUGGGGAAUAUUGCGCAAUGGGGGGAACCCUGACGCAGCCAUGCCGCGUGAAUGAAGAAGGCCUUCGGGUUGUAAAGUUCUUUCGGUAUUGAGGAAGGAGUGUAUGUUAAUAGCAUACAUUAUUGACGUUAAAUACAGAAGAAGCACCGGCUAACUCCGUGCCAGCAGCCGCGGUAAUACGGAGGGUGCGAGCGUUAAUCGGAAUAACUGGGCGUAAAGGGCACGCAGGCGGUUAUUUAAGUGAGAUGUGAAAGCCCCGGGCUUAACCUGGGAAUUGCAUUUCAGACUGGGUAACUAGAGUACUUUAGGGAGGGGUAGAAUUCCACGUGUAGCGGUGAAAUGCGUAGAGAUGUGGAGGAAUACCGAAGGCGAAGGCAGCCCCUUGGGAAUGUACUGACGCUCAUGUGCGAAAGCGUGGGGAGCAAACAGGAUUAGAUACCCGUGUAGUC